AGGACAUCAGAAGCACCUUGAACAGAUGCAAGCAGGUGAAAGAUCGGCCACCGGUGGAGAUUUCACCUGAACUGGAAGAGAAACUAAGUACUUUGCGCCAACUUGGUAUUGUUCCAGAGGAGAUUCUGAAGAAAUUUAGAGCUGCUUUAAACAGGAACCAGGAACCAGAGACUCAGCAUGCCACAGUCUCAGGGAAGAAGAAACUUUGCUCAGGUAUUUUCUCUGGCAGUCCUUUCUUCUUUCUUUAUUAAAAACAUUAUAAAGUAUUAGCCAAUAUGAGACAAGUUAAAAAUAUUCACCAGCUGUUCCCUAGUUGCUGAGGAGUUAAGUGUCCGGAUUACUACUUUCCCUG